ACUAACAUCAUACAGGCUGAUGAAGGUCUCUACUGGUGUUCUACUGAUCAGGGUGCAAACUCUCCUCAGAGCUCUCUGAGGGUCAGAGAUCCUCCCAAAAUCAUCCAUCCUCCUCCCCCUCACUGUCCUCCUCCUCCUCACUGUCCUCCUCCUCCUCACUGUCCUCCUCCAAGCACCUCCACAAACGUUCAUCGUCCUGUAGAAACUGCUCUUACGUGUCCUCCCUCUCCUCCUCCCUCUCCUCCUCCCUCUCUCCUGGUCCCGGUUGUAGCAGGUCUGGUCUCUGGGCUUCUCCUGAUUCUGGUUCUGGUUUUGUUUCUGUUCCUCUGCAGUAAACUUAAAGUGCUCCGACGUUUUCAAAGACGCCUGUUACCCACCAGCUCGAUACCUAGCCAGGGUGAGACGAGCGGACUGUGGU